AUGGCAUCACUUUUAAACUGCAGGCCCUUUGAACUUCUUCAGCGGUUUAGUGUGCAGGAGUUUGCUGAGGGAAGCUUUCAUCCAUUUGAGUGUGCUCAGAGCUAAUCUCUUUCAUGUCAAUUUGACAGGUUAAACUUCAUGAACUUCAAUGGUGGACUCAUCUGUUGUCCCCUUCAAAGUAUUAAAAAGGACGCCAGAAUUGGAGAAGGGUGGGAAGGUGAUGGAAAUGAGCCAACAAUUCCUGCAACAAACGAGGUUCUAUUUAUCUCAAAAGUAUAAUCGUGUCAUAAGAGUCUCAUGCCAAUUGUACAUUUUUGUUAUAUGGUAUCCAGCAAUAAGAAAGGCUAUGUAUAGUUGUGGAUGGGUCUCCCGGUCUUUUCUUCCAACCAUUGAUCAUUUCCUGCACAUCAAUGCUUUUCACAAAAUUGUCUUACUAAAUUCAUUGUCUCUCCAGCGGUCCAGCCUAUGUUCCAUUUGUACAGUUAUGUUCCUUUUUGCGGCAAUUAAGUUUGUGUUUUGGGUUUUUCUUUUC